UAAGGAUGCCCCAAGGAGUUUCAACGUGGAGUUUUUCUACGAGAGAAAAAAUAAUUGUGGGCACCUCCUUCUUAUCUCUUCUUCCUUACAACCAAUAGUUGGUUGUGGAAGGUAACUCUCUUUUUCUCUCUCUUGUUCAAGAGUUGGACAUGUCUCUCUCUUCCUCUCUCCUAAACAUGUCCAGGAGUUGGACAUUAAAAUCAGAUUUGAUCUGAUUUUUUCUCUCCUUCUUGGUCCAUGAGAUGGAUACCAACAGUUUUCCUCUACCUUUUCUAGAUCUGGUCCAAGAGUUGGACAAGAAAGGAAAAAGUAAGAGAUUAGAUCUCUUGUGUUCUUCAAUAGAUCUUGGAUUUUCUUUUGAGAAGAGAAAAAGUGAAAAAAAAUCAGAUGUGAUCUGAUUUCAUCAUCCUCCUAUAGAUCUGAUUGAUUCUCUUCAGAAGAGAAUCAAAAGAUCAAGUCGAUUCGAUAAUCCAAAGAGCGAUCUCUGUAAGGAAGCUAGCACUCUGAUGAGAUUGAGUCCUUUUGAUCAGUUCAGUUUGAGUAGAUAUCCGUAGAGACUGGAUGCACCGGAUGCAUGUGCGGCUUUACAAAAAUCUCUUCAGAUUACUAUGAGCCAUUGCAUCGCAAUGAAGAUAUACCCGUGCAAAGUGCCCUAAAUCUCUGCUACUGCCCCACAUCUCCCCCAGCAAGUCUUCUUCGUCUGCAGGCUUCUCGUCCUCCUUUUUUGGCUUCUUCUUCUUCUCCUGAGCGUGGUGAAGCACCUUCACCGUCGAUUGAGUGUUGGUUUUUUUUUUCUUUGUUCAUCUUCUUCUCUCGAGCAUAUUACAUUUCUAUUUUUUCAUGAUGUAUUUUUUUAAUUUAUGAUUUUAUGGUUUAGGAAGGAUCAACGAAGGGGAAACUCUGUUGGUGGAGAUUGCAAGGUUUUGAAGAUUGGAAGAGUUUUUUUCCCUUGUCAAGUGUGGAUACCCAGCAGUAAAUGGUCACUGCUACGACUUGAGCUAUCAUCCUGUGAACAAUAACAAAGACGCAAGCGUUACAAAAAUGCACAAGGUGUGAAGUGUUAUGACUGUGAUUCUUGCAAGAAAUGCUGGAGUUGCACAAUUCAUGAAAAUCAAGUGGAGAAUGGCUGCAAUUUUUAAUGCCAUCCUGCUCUCCAUAUUGCAGACUGCGUGCAAGUAAAUUAUACUUCACGUAUCAAACCAAUGUUUUCUCUAAUGCAUGCACAUUCAAUGGAUGACAUAUUUCACUUACAUAUUUUCUCCUUUUCCUGUCCCAUGUUUUGGUACAAACCUUUUGGGUUUCAGUCAGCUGUAUUCUUUGUUGGCUGCUGUGCAAGGAGGAAUGCUGAGAGAAGUCAUUCUUCCAAGGUCAGAGGCAGAUAAUUUGUCUAUUUUGUAGCUCUUCACUGGAAGAUGCGGCGAUUUAGUGAGAAGGUGGGACAAGUUAAAUUAUACAAUCCAUAGUCCAUGGUCUGUGUUAGCAUGACCAUAUGGAUUCGUUGGCCUCAUUCUGGGCUGAUUAUUGGGCUCAAAAUCUGGUGUUCAUUAUUGUGUAUAUUCGAUGGUCUCAUUCUAGGCCGAUUAUUAGGUUCAAAAUCUGGUGUACAUUAUGGUGUAUAUGCUUUGUAUUUUGACUUUCUAAUUUUUGUAAUUCCUAUUUAGGCUUCAUGCACUUGUAUAUAAACCUAGCUAGGUAUUAUAAUUGUCAAGAUAUAAAAUACAGAAAUUCUUUUAU